GGGGGACCUUCGGGCCUCUUGCCAUCGGAUGUGCCCAGAUGGGAUUAGCUAGUAGGUGGGGUAACGGCUCACCUAGGCGACGAUCCCUAGCUGGUCUGAGAGGAUGACCAGCCACACUGGAACUGAGACACGGUCCAGACUCCUACGGGAGGCAGCAGUGGGGAAUAUUGCACAAUGGGCGCAAGCCUGAUGCAGCCAUGCCGCGUGUAUGAAGAAGGCCUUCGGGUUGUAAAGUACUUUCAGCGGGGAGGAAGGGAGUAAAGUUAAUACCUUUGCUCAUUGACGUUACCCGCAGAAGAAGCACCGGCUAACUCCGUGCCAGCAGCCGCGGUAAUACGGAGGGUGCAAGCUGUUAAUCGGAAUUACUGCGCGUAAAGCUCACGCUGCCGUUU
rnacentral:rRNA from 1 species